rnacentral:tRNA from 1 species
AAUGAUAUGCCUGAACUAAAGGAUUAUUUUGAUAGAAUAAAUUAUGUAUACUUUUUAUAUAUACUAUCAUUA